rnacentral:misc_RNA from 1 species
GAUGAAGAACGUAGCGAAAUGCGAUACGUAAUGUGAAUUGCAGAAUUCAGUGAAUCAUCGAAUCUUUGAAUGCAUAUUGCGCUCUCUGGUAUUCCGGAGAGCAUGCUUGUUUGAGUAUCAGUAAACACCUCAACUCCCUUUUCUUUUUUGAAAUUGGAGCUGGACUUGAGUGAUCCCAACGCUUUCUUCCAAGAAAGUGGCGGGUUGCUUGAAAUGCAGGUGCAGCUGAACUUUUCUCUGAGCUAUAAGCAUAUCUAUUUAGUCUGCCUAAAAAACAGAUUAUUACCUUUGCUGCAGCUAACAUAAAGGAGACUAGUUCUUGUGCUGACUGAUGCAGGAUUCACAGAGACAGCUUCGGCUGACUUUGUAAACUCGAUCUCAAAUCAAGUAAGACUACCCGCUGAACUUAAGCAUAUCAAUAAGCGGAGGA